rnacentral:rRNA from 1 species
GACGAACGCUGGCGGCGUGCUUAACACAUGCAAGUCGAGCGGUAAGGCCCUUUCGGGGGUACACGAGCGGCGAACGGGUGAGUAACACGUGGGUGACCUGCCCUCAGCUCUGGGAUAAGCCUGGGAAACCGGGUCUAAUACCGGAUAUGACUCCAUGACGCAUGUUGUGGGGUGGAAAGCCUUGUGCGGCUGAGGAUGGGCCCGCGGCCUAUCAGCCUGUUGGUGGGGUGANGGCCUACCAAGGCGACGACGGGUAGCCGGCCUGAGAGGGCGACCGGCCACACUGGGACUGAGACACGGCCCAGACUCCUACGGGAGGCAGCAGUGGGGAAUCUUGCGCAAUGGGCGAAAGCCUGACGCAGCGACGCCGCGUGAGGGAUGACGGCCU